UCCUACGGGAGGCAGCAGUGGGGAAUUUUGGACAAUGGGCGAAAGCCUGAUCCAGCAAUGCCGCGUGUGUGAAGAAGGCCUUCGGGUUGUAAAGCACUUUUGUCCGGAAAGAAAACGCUCUAACUAAUAUCUGGAGCGGAUGACGGUACCGGAAGAAUAAGCACCGGCUAACUACGUGCCAGCAGCCGCGGUAAUACGUAGGGUGCGAGCGUUAAUCGGAAUUACUGGGCGUAAAGCGUGCGCAGGCGGUUUGUUAAGACGGAUGUGAAAUCCCCGGGCUCAACCUGGGAACUGCAUUCGUGACUGGCAAGCUAGAGUAUGGCAGAGGGGGGUGGAAUUCCACGUGUAGCAGUGAAAUGCGUAGAGAUGUGGAGGAACACCGAUGGCGAAGGCAGCCCCCUGGGCCAAUACUGACGCUCAUGCACGAAAGCGUGGGGAGCAAACAGGAUUAGAUACCCUGGUAGUCCACGCCCUAAACGAUGUCAACUAGUUGUUGGGGAUUCAU
rnacentral:rRNA from 1 species